GCGCACCAGGCGAGAAUCCUUCGCAAUGCGGGAAACCGCGACGAGGGGACUCCCAGUGCCUACGCUCAGCGUAGGCUGUUCCCGAGCCUAGAAAGCUCGGAGAGUAAGGGCUGGGUAAGACGGGUGCCAGCCGCCGCGGUAAUACCCGCAGCCCGAGUGGUGGCCACUAUUAUUGGGCCUAAAGCGUCCGUAGCCGGCCCGGUAAAUGCCUGGGUAAAUCGUGAGGCCUAACCUCACGAAUUCCGGGUAGACUGCCGGGCUAGGGGACCGGAGGAGGGAGAGGGGUACUCCAGGGGUAGGGGUGAAAUCCUGUAAUCCCUGGAGGACCACCGGUGGCGAAGGCGCUCUCCUAGGACGGGUCCGACGGUGAGGGACGAAAGCCAGGGGAGCGAACCGGAUUAGAUA
rnacentral:rRNA from 1 species